AAAAACUUUUAAGUACUCAAGUAGAGCACAUGCAUAUAACAGAUUUAAGAAAACAAAUAGAGAAACCCUCAAAUAGCUAGGGUUUUAGAGGAACCCUAGAAUGACAAAGGCUUGGAAAAGGUCUGAUCUAAGUCAGCUAAGUUAGAACCAGGCUCGAAAUGCUUUGGAUACACCGGAGCUAGGCUGAAGAAGCCGAAGAACCUUGAAUCGGAGAAGAUCUGAUCGAACACCAUCGAGGUCAGAUCUCGAAACUUCGAACACCAGGCAUUUAAUAGUGGAGGGAGGUGAAUAUAGGCCAUCCAUGGCCUGAGAGGCCAUGGAUUCCGGUGAGAUUGAGGUUGAAGAUAGUGAGAGAGGCUAGGGCUUCAAGAACCUUCGAGAGAGUUUGAGAGAGGAAAGAUAUUCAGGAGAGGCUGAU
rnacentral:lncRNA from 1 species